GCGGCGUGCCUAAUACAUGCAAGUCGAACGCUUCUUUCCUCCCGAGUGCUUGCACUCAAUUGGAAAGAGGAGUGGCGGACGGGUGAGUAACACGUGGGUAACCUACCCAUCAGAGGGGGAUAACACUUGGAAACAGGUGCUAAUACCGCAUAACAGUUUAUGCCGCAUGGCAUAAGAGUGAAAGGCGCUUUCGGGUGUCGCUGAUGGAUGGACCCGCGGUGCAUUAGCUAGUUGGUGAGGUAACGGCUCACCAAGGCCACGAUGCAUAGCCGACCUGAGAGGGUGAUCGGCCACACUGGGACUGAGACACGGCCCAGACUCCUACGGGAGGCAGCAGUAGGGAAUCUUCGGCAAUGGACGAAAGUCUGACCGAGCAACGCCGCGUGAGUGAAGAAGGUUUUCGGAUCGUAAAACUCUGUUGUUAGAGAAGAACAAGGACGUUAGUAACUGAACGUCCCCUGACGGUAUCUAACCAGAAAGCCACGGCCAACUACGUGCCAGCAGCCGCGGUAAUACGUAGGUGGCAAGCGUUGUCCGGAUUUAUUGGGCGUAAAGCGAGCGCAGGCGGUUUCUUAAGUCUGAUGUGAAAGCCCCCGGCUCAACCGGGGAGGGUCAUUGGAAACUGGGAGACUUGAGUGCAGAAGAGGAGAGUGGAAUUCCAUGUGUAGCGGUGAAAUGCGUAGAUAUAUGGAGGAACACCAGUGGCGAGGGCGGCUCUCUGGUCUGUAACUGACGCUGAGGCUCGAAAGCGUGGGGAGCAAACAGGAUUAGAUACCCUGGUAGUCCACGCCGUAAACGAUGAGUGCUAAGUGUUGGAGGGUUUCCGCCCUUCAGUGCUGCAGCAAACGCAUUAAGCACUCCGCCUGGGGAGUACGACCGCAAGGUUGAAACUCAAAGGAAUUGACGGGGGCCCGCACAAGCGGUGGAGCAUGUGGUUUAAUUCGAAGCAACGCGAAGAACCUUACCAGGUCUUGACAUCCUUUGACCACUCUAGAGAUAGAGCUUUCCCUUCGGGGACAAAGUGACAGGUGGUGCAUGGUUGUCGUCAGCUCGUGUCGUGAGAUGUUGGGUUAAGUCCCGCAACGAGCGCAACCCUUAUUGUUAGUUGCCAUCAUUUAGUUGGGCACUCUAGCGAGACUGCCGGUGGCAAACCGGAGGAAGGUGGGGAUGACGUCAAAUCAUCAUGCCCCUUAUGACCUGGGCUACACACGUGCUACAAUGGGAAGUACAACGAGUCGCUAGACCGCGAGGUCAUGCAAAUCUCUUAAAGCUUCUCUCAGUUCGGAUUGCAGGCUGCAACUCGCCUGCAUGAAGCCGGAAUCGCUAGUAAUCGCGGAUCAGCACGCCGCGGUGAAUACGUUCCCGGGCCUUGUACACACCGCCCGUCACACCACGAGAGUUUGUAACACCCGAAGUCGGUGAGGUAACCUUUUUGGAGCCAGCCGCCUAAGGUGGGAUAGAUGAUUGGGGUG
rnacentral:rRNA from 1 species